rnacentral:rRNA from 1 species
UACGUAGGGGGCAAGCGUUGUCCGGAAUCAUUGGGCGUAAAGAGCGUGUAGGCGGCCCGUUAAGUCCGCCGUGAAAGUCCAGGGCUCAACCCUGGAAUGCCGGUGGAAACUGUCGGGCUGGAGUCCGGAAGAGGCGAGUGGAAUUCCUGGUGUAGCGGUGAAAUGCGCAGAUAUCGGGAGGAACACCAAUUGCGAAGGCAGCUCGCUGGGACGUCACUGACGCUGAGACGCGAAAGCGUGGGGAGCAAACAGG